AGCAACAGAGCACACCGUCUCCACCAAGGAGGAGACAGGGGACUCCCCUGAGAAGGACGCUAGUUCACCAACACAGGAGCCAGAUAUAUGGAGAAACGUGACUCAAAGAAGUAGGAGGCCCAGGGUUCGCUCUGAUUGUUUAGAAAUACACAAUCGCUUUGAGGUCCUCUCCCCUAGCAUGGAAGACGAAGAGCAGACUCCAUUUGAGGAUCUCUCCCUCAUUACAGUCGAUCAGGUAUAUGAAGACGAGCAGCAAAGUCAGUCCUCAGGGAAUGUGCAGGCGACCUUGGAGCGGACAGCUCACAGAAGAACCCCGACCAAACCUAAGAGGAGGCGUGUAGUGGUGAUAGGGGAUUCCCUACUGAGGGGAACAGAAGCAGUGAUCUGUGGGCCUGACAAGAUGUCUCGGGAAGUGUGCUGUCCCCGGGGCUAAGAUCCAAGAUGUAACUGAACGACUGCAAGGAAUCAUAAAACCCACUGACAAAUACCCCUUCCUCUUGGUUCAUGUGGGAACCAAUGACACUGCAAGCAAUAGCCUCCAGAAGAUCAAAAGAGACUACGAGGCUCUGGGCAGGAAAUUGAAGCAAUUAAAUGCACAAAUUGUCAUCUCAUCUGUCCUCCCAGUUGAACGACAUGGCCCAGGGAGAGAGGGGAAAAUACUGGAAGUGAACAGCUGGCUUCGCAAAUGGUGUAAACAGGAACGGUUUGGAUUCUUAGAUCACGGACUGCAGUUUCUUGAAGAUGGACUUCUGGCAAGCGAUGGGCUGCACCUCACAACGGUUGGGAGAAAUGUUUUUGCCAAAAAUCUCAGAAACCUCAUCAGGAGGGCUUUAAACUGACUAAUGUGGGGAGGGAGACAGUGCUCCUGAAGGUAGGAGUCUAUCAAUUGAUGAAGAUGAUCAUCCAAAUGUCAUAGACCAAAUGGAGCAAACAGCACACAGACCUAGUGGUGGGAGGAAAAAAUCCUUAAAUAAGAGUCACGGGGGGGAUGAUUAAUGGACUUCAGUGUCUGUACACUAAUGCGCAAAGCAUGGGAAAUAAACAAGAUGAGCUGGAGCUCUUGGUACAGCAAACUAAAUAUGACAUAAUAGGCAUCACUGAAACCUGGUGGGAUAAGUCCCACGAUUGGAAUGUAAUAAUGGGGGGAUACAAUCUAUUUCAGAGAAACAGACCAGACAAGAAAGGAGGAGGAGUGGCGUUAUAUGUCAGGGAUGUGUAUACCUGUGAAGAGAUCCAAGAUUUAGAACCUCAAAGCCAAAGUGAGAGCAUUUGGGUCAAAAUUAAGGGAGAGAAGAAUAACAGUGACCUCAUUGUGGGAGUUUACUAUAGAUCCCCAAGCCAAACGGAGGACAUAGAUGAUGCCUUCCUGGAACAGAUGGCCAAGCAUGCAAAAGGAAGGGAGAUAGUAGUAAUGGGGGACUUCAAUUACCCGGAUAUUUGUUGGAUGUCAAACUCAGCCAAGAGCAUAAGGUCAAACAGAUUUCUCACUGGCCUUGCAGACAACUUCAUUGUCCAGAAAGUGGGAGAAGCAACAAGAGGAACAGCCAUUUUAGAUCUGGUCCUAACCAAUGUUGAUGACCUGGUUAGUGGGGUAGAAGUGGAAGGAUCAUUAGGCGCGAGUGAUCAUGCUCUUCUGAAGUUUACUAUACAGCGGAAAGGAGCAGCCAAGCAUACUAGGACUCAAUUUCUUGACUUUAAGAAAGCUGACUUCAUAAAACUUAGGGAAGUGCUGGGUGAGAUCCCAUGGACAGUAAUACUAAAAGGAAAGGGAGUUCAUGAUGGCUGGGAGUUUGUUAAGAGGGAGAUACUAAAAGCACAACGUCAGGCAAUACCAAUGAGACGGAAACAUGGAAGGUGCCUAAAGAAGCCAGGGUGGCUAUCUAAAGAACUUUUAACUGAGUUAAGAUUAAAAAGGAUGUGUAC